rnacentral:rRNA from 1 species
ACGAACGCUGGCGGCGUGCUUAACACAUGCAAGUCGAACGGAAAGGCCCUGCUUUUGUGGGGUUCUCGAGUGGCGAACGGGUGAGUAACACGUGAGUAACCUGCCCUUGACUUUGGGAUAACUUCAGGAAACUGGGGCUAAUACCGGAUAGGAGCUCCUGCUGCAUGGUGGGGGUUGGAAAGUUUCGGCGGUUGGGGAUGGACUCGCGGCUUAUCAGCUUGUUGGUGGGGUAGUGGCUUACCAAGGCUUUGACGGGUAGCCGGCCUGAGAGGGUGACCGGCCACAUUGGGACUGAGAUACGGCCCAGACUCCUACGGGAGGCAGCAGUGGGGAAUAUUGCACAAUGGGCGGAAGCCUGAUGCAGAAACGCCGCGUGCGGGAUGACGGCCUUCGGGUUGUAAACCGCUUUCGCCUGUGACGAAGCGUGAGUGACGGUAAUGGGUAAAGAAGCACCGGCUAACUACGU